rnacentral:rRNA from 1 species
ACGGGUGAGUAACACGUGGGCAACCUGCCCAAAAGAGGGGGAUAACACUUGGAAACAGGUGCUAAUACCGCAUAACCAUAGUUACCGCAUGGUAACUAUGUAAAAGGUGGCUAUGCUACCGCUUUUGGAUGGGCCCGCGGCGCAUUAGCUAGUUGGUGGGGUAAAGGCUUACCAAGGCAAUGAUGCGUAGCCGAACUGAGAGGUUGAUCGGCCACAUUGGGACUGAGACACGGCCCAAACUCCUACGGGAGGCAGCAGUAGGGAAUCUUCCACAAUGGGCGAAAGCCUGAUGGAGCAACGCCGCGUGGGUGAAGAAGGUCUUCGGAUCGUAAAACCCUGUUGUUAGAGAAGAAAGUGCGUGAGAGUAACUGUUCACGUUUCGACGGUAUCUAACCAGAAAGCCACGGCUAACUACGUGCCAGCAGCCGCGGUAAUACGUAAGUGGCAAGCGUUAUCCGGAUUUAUUGGGCGUAAAGGGAACGCAGGCGGUCUUUUAAGUCUGAUGUGAAAGCCUUCGGCUUAACCGGAGUAGUGCAUUGGAAACUGGGAGACUUGAGUGCAGAAGAGGAGAGUGGAACUCCAUGUGUAGCGGUGAAAUGCGUAGAUAUAUGGAAGA